rnacentral:rRNA from 1 species
AUAUUUCGAACCGCAUGGUUCGAUAGUGAAAGAUGGUUUUGCUAUCACUUAUAGAUGGACCCGCGCCGUAUUAGCUAGUUGGUAAGGUAACGGCUUACCAAGGCGACGAUACGUAGCCCACCUGAGAGGGUGAUCGGCCACACUGGAACUGAGACACGGUCCAGACUCCUACGGGAGGCAGCAGUAGGGAAUCUUCCGCAAUGGGCGAAAGCCUGACGGAGCAACGCCCCGUGAGUGAUGAAGGUCUUCGGAUCGUAAAACUCUGUUAUUAGGGAAGAACAUACGUGUAAGUAACUAUGCACGUCUUGACGGUACCUAAUCAGAAAGCCACGGCUAACUACGUGCCAGCAGCCGCGGUAAUACGUAGGUGGCAAGCGUUAUCCGGAAUUAUUGGGCGUAAAGCGCGCGUAGGCGGUUUUUUAAGUCUGAUGUGAAAGCCCACGGCUCAACCGUGGAGGGUCAUUGGAAACUGGAAAACUUGAGUGCAGAAGAAGAAAGUGGAAUUCCAUGUGUAGCGGUGAAAUGCGCAGAAGAUAUGGAGGAACACCAGUGGCGAAAGCGACUUUCUGGUCUGUAACUGACACUUAAUAUGCGAAAGCGUGGGGAUCAAACAAGAUUAGAUACCCUGGUAGUCCACGCCCUAAACGAUGAGUGCUAAAUGUUAAGGGGGUUUCCGCCCCUUAAUGCUGCAGCUAACGCAUUAAGCACUCCCCCUGGGGAGUACAACCACCAAGGUUGAAACUCAAAAAAAUUUACGGGGACCCGCCCCACCCCGGGAGCAAGUGGUGUUAUUUCUAAAC